rnacentral:rRNA from 1 species
UUGAAAGGGAAACGAUUGAAGUCAGUCGUACCAGCGGGAAAUCAACCUUUCGAGUGGGGGUUUUGGAGUUUUGAAGAGUUUCAAAACCUUUGAGAUUUCAAAAAUUUCGCUUUUUUGGUGUACUUUCUCGUGGGUAGGUUAACAUCGAUUUUGAUCAUCAUAAAAAGAUUGGAGGAAUGUAGCUUCGAUCUUGUAUUGAAGUGUUAUAGCCUUUGGUAAAUGUGAUGAUUAGGAUCGAGGAUUGCAACGAAUACCCUUUUGGGCUAUCCGCCUGAUCUCUGAUACGUGGCCUUGGUAUCGAAAGCUUGCUUAUGGUAUUAAGGUAUUACGGUCAAAAGGUUAGAACGGAUUACAUUCGUUAAGGAUGUUGACGUA